UUGAAAGGGAAACGAUUGAAGUCAGUCGUACCUGCGGGUAAUCAGCCUUUUGGGCAUGAUUCUGUGGAGCGUGAGGAGUUAAACGCCUUCAUGCCUGCAUAUUCGUGUACUUUGGGUGUACUUGCCCGUGUGGUUAGUUAACAUCAAUUUUGGUUAUCAUAAAAUGGCUGGAGGAAUGUAGCUUCGAUUUCGAUUGAAGUGUUAUAGCCUUCGGCAGAUGUGAUGAUCGGGAUUGAGGAUUGCAACGGAUACCCUUCGGGGCUACCUGUCUGAUCUCUGGUCGUUGCUCUGGUGCCGAAAGCGUGCUUACGGUUAUCAAAGUCGAUGGUUAAUAGGUUAGAACGGGUUAAAUUCGUUAAGGAUGUUGACGUA
rnacentral:rRNA from 1 species